rnacentral:tRNA from 1 species
GGGUGUAGUUAAGGGCUCCAGCUCAAAAAACUAUGGGUUUACCACCCGUAGGUCGCAGGUUCAAAUCCUGCCGGUCCCACCA